rnacentral:rRNA from 1 species
CGGGUGAGUAACGCGUGAGGAACCUGCCUCAAAGAGGGGGACAACAGUUGGAAACGACUGCUAAUACCGCAUAAGCCCACGGGUCGGCAUCGACCAGAGGGAAAAGGAGCAAUCCGCUUUGAGAUGGCCUCGCGUCCGAUUAGCUAGUUGGUGAGGUAAUGGCCCACCAAGGCAACGAUCGGUAGCCGGACUGAGAGGUUGAACGGCCACAUUGGGACUGAGACACGGCCCAG